UUUUUUUUUUUUUUUUUUUUUUUUUUUUUUUUUUGCUAUUUAGGGCUGCACCUGUGACAUGUGGAAGUUCGCAGGCUAGAAGUUGUGCAGCUGCCAGCCACAGCAAUGCCAGAUCUGGGCAGCAUCUGUGAGCAACAUGGCAUUGUAAAUCAACUAAAAGAACCUGUGCCACAGCAGCAACACUGGAUCCUUAACCCACUGAGCGAGGUCAGGGAUUAAACCCCCAUCCUCAUGGAUACUACUAGGGUUUGUUACUGCUGAGCCACAAUGGGAACUCCUUAUACCUGAUUCUUGAUGGUAUCUUUUUUUGUUUUUUGGGUUUUUUUGGCCACGCCUAUGGCAUAUGGAAGUUCCCUAGGCCAGAGAUCAAAUCUGAGCCACAGCUGCCAGCUACACCACAGCUGCAGCAGGGAUUGAACCCACACUGCUGCAGAGAAAACAUCAAAUCCUUAAUUCACUGUGCCAUAUCAGGAACUCCUUUUUUUUUUUAAGUUGAUUUGUAAUCUUGUGUUACUUUCAGGUAUACAGCAAAGUGAUUCAGUUGUACAUAUAUUUUCUGAUUCUUUUCAAUUACAGGUUAUGAGAUAUUGAAUAUAGUUCCCUGUGCUAAACAGUACAUUUUAUUGUCUAUUUUAUAUGUAGUGGCGUGUAUCUAUUAAUCUCAUACUCCUAAUUUAUCCCUCCCUCUCUUUCCCUUUUGAUAACCAUAAAUUGGUUUUUUAUGUCUGUGAGAUUAUUUGUUUUAUAAAUAAAUACAUUUGUAUAAUUUUUUUUAACAACAACAAAAAAAGGUAGCAAUGAAGGAAUAGAAGACCAAAUAAGACAUAAAACAAGAGUUCUCUUGUGGUGCAGCAGGUUAAGGAUCAAGUAUUGUCAUUGCUGUAGCUCAAGUUGCUGCUGUGGCACAGGUUCAAUCCCUGGCCUGGGAACUUCCACAUGCCAUGGAGAGAAACCCACCCCCCCAAAAAAUAAAAUAAAAACAUAAGAUAUACCAAAAGCAAUAGCAAAAUGGCAGAUGUAAACCCUACCUCAUCAGUAAUUACAGUGGAGUAAACAUUCUCAUCAAAGGGCAGAGAUGAUCAGCAGCAUAGUUUUUUAUUCUAUUUUAUUUUUAUUUUGUCUUUUUGCCGUUUCUAGGGCUGCUCCCGCGGCAUAUGGAGAUUUGUUUUAUGUCCCAACAUAUAAUUUAUCUUAAUGAGAUUCCCUUGGGCAAUUGAAAAGAAUGCAUAUUUUGCUCUUGUUAGGUGGAGCAGGCUAUAAAUACAGACUAGGUCAAAUCUUUAGUAGUUGUAUUAUCUAGGGCUGCAUGACAGAUUACCCCCAAAAAGUUCUGAGAAUCGAGAACUUGGGAAUGGCUUAGCUAGGUGGUUCUGGCUCAGUGUUUUGCACGGGGUUGCAGCUGAGCUGUUAGGCAGAUUCUCUAGGACUUGAUUGGGGUUGAAGGACCUCUUCCCCAGCUGUCACAUGGCUAUUGGCAGAAAGCCUCAGUUCCCUGCCAGGAACUCUCCAUAGGGCUCUUCACACACUGGCUUCCCACAGUGAGUAAUCUGAGAGACAGAGCAUGAGUCUGUAAGACAGAAGCCACAGUUGUUAAUAACUAACUUUAGAAGUGACAUGCAACAUAGAUCUCUCACAUCAACACGUGUGAUGUGGAGGGGACCACCCAGAGGCAGAAAUACCAGAAGACAGGGACCAGACCCACAAUUGUGUUGUCCAAGUUUCUAUAGGUAC
rnacentral:lncRNA from 9 species